CGGCCCCGCAAACCACCGGGUGAUCUGGGGUCUCGGGAGGCGUGGGGGCGGUCCCGCACUGGGGACCGCGGCUUUUCCCCAGCCGGCUGCUCAUGGGGGCUGCGCCUUCCUGCCUCCUGACGCCGAGGUCCUAAGGUCCUGCCCAAGCACAGUCUCGGGACCCUCGCCUAUGGUAAAGAGUACCGGGAAAACUAGGGGUUUGGGUACUUGGACAUUUGCAAAAGCCGAAGAAAUCCAGGCGGCCCCCGCGACCCUGAUUUCCACCCGGGAGGAAGGAUACCAGGAAGCGCGGAGCGCGAGAUGGAGCGCCCUCCGGCGGCUCUGUUAGGUCGCCGGGCUUCUCCGCUUUCCUCCCGCACAAUUGAAGGGUUCAGUCCGGCUUGAUCUCUGCGACAGGAAUCCCAGGUCGGAGGCACCGCAACAGGUAACCUGAAAGAGGCCUUGCUGGUGACAUUACUGACCAAAUGGAAAAAGAUGCUUUCUAAGCUCCUUGAACGGCUCAGCCAGGGCGAUUUGUGUUCCCAGCUAACACCAAGUGUCCUUUGGAAAUAAUAAAGGAACUUGGUAACAAGAAGAGAGAGAGCGACUGUACUUGCAUAAGGAUUGCCAUAUAGAGCAAUGAAAUAGAACUGAGAAUCCAGAAAUAAACUCUCACAGUACAGUCAAUUGAACUACAAGAGUGAGGAAACAAUUCAAUGAGGAAAGAAUAGACUUUUCAACAAAUUGAUAUCCACGUGCAAAAGAAUGAACUUGGACCCAUAAUUAACUCAAAUGGAUCAAAGACCUAAAUAUUCCCCAGGCGUGCCUCUGGUGUGGGACUUGCUGGCUGCUUGAUGCGAGCAUCUGCCCCAUGGACUGGCGUUCCUUCAGGCUGUUCAUCAAAUGUUGAAGGAAGGUUAAAAGUUGCAAGUUCUGAAGAGUGAAGGUACUACACAUUAGACCUGAAAGUAACUUCGACAAAAUCUGGAAGCAAACUCUGCGCCCCCAUUUCUCCUCAUUGUGCUAGAUGGUCUUGGUGUUGCCUUCCCGCUGAAA